rnacentral:lncRNA from 1 species
AUGAUUUUGUCAUAUAAAUAUAAAAUACCACAGAACAGAAUUCUCCGCAGGGUUGAGGCUAGGCUCGACAAAUGUGACAAACCUGUGGUGUGUUUAAUAUUUUUUAUUUUACUAAAUCACUUUGUAUUAGAAAAAGUACAACUCGCAUACACAAAUAUGAUAAACUAUUCAAGAAAAUAUUGGACUAAAUUUUGCUAGGGGCUGCACUCAAAAGAGUACAACACCUCCAAAAAUUGAAGUAUGCCGCUGAAAGUGGCGAGCACACGGUAUUCUUUAGUAAAAGGCGAAAGAAUAGUUCGCUCUGUGCUCACAACACGGCUCCAUAGUAACACUUGCGAAAAUUAUCCAUAUUAUAUACAUCUAUUCUGGUAACUGGCUUGAUAACUUAGCCAUGUGGGACUAUAUGCAUAACUAUAUCUUUUCGCUUGUUAGCUCUUCGAUUAAGCAGAUGACAUGACACUGCACAAUGUUCUAUAUGGAUUCAUAAAUUACAGUCUAUGAAAUGUAUUUAUAGGGUCCGCCUACGUUGCAACAGUUGCAACGUACCACACUUUUUGUCUCCAUUCUAGACAGCCAUUGGAUGUAAACUAAAUGAAUCUAAUGGUUGAAAAUAAAAAGGAGUAAAGGUCUAUAGCCGGUUGUAGACAUGUACUGUAUAAAACUUAUUGAUUCUAGUUAUUUUUUUUGUUUUUUGAAGAAAUACCGACUCUAGUUUGAGAGGCGUCCAUCCAAAGAUUUUGCACACCCCUGCAAUUGAGAUCAUCGAAAUCUUUUCCACCCCCAAAAAAUCCGAUGAUUGAAGUGUUUUUCAUCCCCAGAAAUAGUGAUUAGUUUUGGUGUCUCCCGAUAAAAUCAUAAACGACGUAAGUAAAACUGACGGCCGAUAUAUGACGGUGGCAACUAAUCGGAAAAGAUACUGGGCGGUCGUGUAAGUUUAGGAAUUACAGACAUCGAUUUGCCUCAUAACUUGCCUCAUAAUAGAGUCAAUUUCUCGCGUGCACUGGAUCAAUUAGAAUUUUUUUUUUUUGCAGAAGUUGUCAUUAAUUAAUUUUCUAUUUAUUGCUUUUCUUUUCAUGUUUAAUACCCGAAAUAUGUCUCCUUUGUUGAACUCUCUUUAGCAAGAAUGGCAUCUGAAACUGUAUUUUUCUUCUUCUUCUAUUUGGUUUUAGUUUUUUCUUCUUCUUUUUUUUGGUUUUAGUUUUUUCUUCUCUGAGGAAUUUCGUCAAACAGGUAGCAGGCAUGAAAUAUAUCUAAGCUCUUUUCAACUCAAAUGUAAGAUAACACACAAAAACAUGUUAAUCAUCCAAAUCCUUUCCCCCAGUGCUUUGCAAUUGUGUUCUUACGAUUUUGCUGUCAACGAUGCAAUUAUCAAAUAAAAUCAAUUACACCCAUUGCACAAACAAAUUCGCCAUUUAAUUCAUAUGCCUUACAGACCCACCCCAGGAUGCAACAUACAUGAAUCUUGAAGAUCUUCUCCCCCAACAAAUUGCAACAUAUGUAAGGAAAUCGAUUUAGGUGUUUGUACAUUCUUUCGCAACCACGAGCUGCUAAACCUUAAUUUCUAUUUUCAUAAGAAAUCUGCAUCUAACUGGAUGAUUUUUUGUGGAACUGGCUUCAACGGUUACUGGUUGAUACUGUCUUUAUCACCUACCUAAUUUGAAGCGUUAGAUUUGUUUAGUUUACAUCCAACGGCUGUCUACAAUGGAGACAAAAAGUGUGGUACGUUACCAUAGUGGUAACAUAGGCGGACCCGUAUUUAUAAUACUAAAUUACCUUCUUAUUUUUUUGGGCAGAUUUUAGUCAGUUGUAAUAUAUUUUUUUAGCAUAUUAAAUUUAAAAUAAUAAUAAAGAUACCAGUACACUGACAGAUCGAAACCACUAAAGAAAUCUAUAUCAGGAAUCAGGAUUCCACUUCUUAUCUCUUGCUGGAAGGAUCAUAAACAAUUCCUCAACACCAUACUAUAUGAUAUGUGAUUGUUGCAAAGCAUGAUUAAUUUUCAGUCACUUCCUUUGAUUAAACUUUAAUUCAUACUAAUUAGCCAAUAUCUUUCACUUUGCAUUAGAAAUUAGAUGUCUUGAAGUUUCUAAUUUCAAAGAAAGUGCAAGGUACAAAACAGAACACAAGGCACUAAAUAACGCAUUGAACACCGGCAAACAAGCAAAGAUUGGAACACCAUUUGAUAAUCUAAAUAAGUAAUCCUUGAGUUGGUCAAAUUUUGCUAUAGAAUUGGUAGGGGUACGCCAGGCCCUUGCAAUAGUGCAACGCACGGGCGACGCUCAGGGCACACAGUAGCAAGCUACUGCAUUGAGCCCUCCCCAGGAAAAAUUAAUUUAAUAUCGUGUGGACCGAUGAUCCACAUAUCAGAUAUUAAACUGAUAAGAACAGAUACUACACUUGAUCUUAGCCAAAAGGCCGAGAAAGGUAUGAGUUACUCAAUUUAUCUCCUCUGUUUUUAUAGCUCUGUUUGGCACUCGCUUCUGUUGUUCUAUCGAUGUGGAACAUAAGCAAUUGAGAAGAGAUCACUUGAAUUUUCUGCAUUGAAAUGCAACGUACGGUAUUGGUGAUUAAACAGUUGGUUAGUUCGAGUUCUAGAAAUCAGUGAGAAUAUACUUGUUAACAGAAUUGUGUCAAUAACAGAGCAGCGUCGGGAUCCUGAGUUGUAUUGUACACAAGUUACUGUCAAUUGCCAUUCAAAAAAGAAAAUAAUAUAUAUCAUCAGAAUGCCGGUCCACGCAGCAAUUUUGACACAAACACAAUAUCUUUCACAACUAAAAAUUGCUUCCUUCUCCCAGUCGUGCCAAGAUGCUUGCAUUUCUAUAGAUUGAACCAACCAUCCCCAGUAUUGAAAAGUUAUACUCUUUAUAGCAAGCUUAUGAUCGAAUGUGGCCGUUUAAGGAAAUUGGCUCACGUGUUGGGCAAUUGAGUCGGCAAGUCAAUGACAAGAAAUUUUAAAACUAAAGAAUUGUAGGGCUUUACCCCGGAGGGAGCCCUUCCAGAAAUUCUCGAAGGCCAGGGCUGAACCCAGGCCUAGGAGGGGGUUUGGAAAUAGUUUUCAACCAGCAAUAGACGCGCCUCGGUUAGAACCUCACUAGCUGCGUCAUUGCCCCAAGCGCAAAGAUGCUUUGAGAUUUUGAAUAGCUCUCUUAAUAAAUUGAUUCCAUCACAGUCUAUAUUGCUAUCCGGUCCAUGUGGGACUUAGCUUGUUGUUUGAGGACUUAGCUUGUGCUCAGUCCCAGCUUGUGUUAUUGUGAGUGAAGGGUAUGAUGACUCUCCCAAGCUAAGUUCCACAAGUAACGUCUUUUUUUCUUUUUUUUAAUCCACCAUAACCUAGUCUUUGAUAAAAAAUUUAACCUCGAUUAGAAAGAGCGUAGAUUCAAUUGGUAUUGAGGAAGAGACAUUCGAAUUUAUCAUUAUGGCUGCGUUAUGUUAAGAAACAACUUCUACAUUCUAGUGGGAUGAGGAAACGUCAUCUUUGUGGAAUUAGCAUCAUCUUCGAAAUUGUUAAUUUGUGAACAGGAGCUUCUGUUACCUGUGCCAACGCAGCUGGAGCAGAUUCUGGCAUUGGCAAAAAUGCUUUCGUGGAUCAGAAUUCUUCUGCGUGAAGGGAAAUUGAAAAAAGUGAGAUCCCGGCUGUGAAGUAGCUUCAAAAGUUUUAGAGCCAUCUAGUUUCAGUCAGGAUUAAUUGAGUGGCACACGUAGAGAAGUUCUUUUAGACACAUUUGAAGUAGUAAUCAGUACCAUGUAUUAAUACCAAAAAACCAAAAAGAGAAGGGAAAAAUUGUAGUAGCGAACAUGAGUGUGAAAACCAAUCUCCUUAUAGCAGAAUGAUCAUAUUACAUACAAUGUGAGGGAAAUUGAAUACUCUUGCUGGAAGGAUGGAUCUUUGUGAAUAAUGUUGAAGAUUUGUUUUCAUCACACUAUUUAAGUUCCUAACAAUUCUUUACACCCUCAAAAAGCUUUUAGACAAAUUAUGAGGUAAAUUAUCUUUAUAAGAACUUAAAAUAUGAUUUAUUUACUCUCAAAAUUUUGAUAAAGAUUCGGGGGGGCCCAGAGGUAACAUGUUAAUUGUACAAAACAUAAAAUACGAUUUAUCUUCGCUAAAAUUUCAUUUGGUAUAAGUCAUCAGGCCCUUGCAGUAGUGCAACGCAUGAGCGAGAGACAAGGGGCUCUCCGCAGCAAGCUUUACCCUCAUAUCCCAGAAAACGACCAAAGGUACGAUUUAUUUCGGUCCACAAUAAAACCACACUGCUUAGAUUAAAAAUAAAAAAUAAAAAAUAAAAAUUGAGAUCUCACUUGGUGGGGUGCGCCAGGCCCGUGCUGUAGUGCAACAUAUGGGCGACGCGCAGUGCUCACGGUAGCAAGCUACCGCAUUGAGCACUCCCCUUAAAAAAUUAAUUUAAUAUCGUGUGGAUCGAUGAUCCACAUAUCAGAUAUUAAACUGAUAAGAACAGAUACUACACUUGAUCUUAGCCAAAAGGCCGAGAAAGGUAUGCUUUGCUUCAUAUCUUGGUUCUGCAUUUAUAGCUUUGCUCUGCAUCUUGCGUACGUUGCCCUGUCGAUGUGGGACAGAAUUAACUCCCUGUCAUACCUAGCUCAAGAAAGAAGCUAAUUCUCGAAUCCAUUCAAGAUUAAUUCACAAGUCUUAGUUUCAUACAGAUCUCACUAAACCUAGAGAUUACAUUAAACCUACCAAAUCAAAGAGGGUGGCUACCUGGUUCAAUUUGUUGUUGUUGCACAAUCAAGACAGAGCAUUUGCCGUUAUAAUCUGUUGAUGCAAGCAAAUCUCCAAGAAUACCAAGCCCAGGAAAUUCGCUUCAUUCUUUCAAUCCUGAAGUCUGCGGUGGCGACCCCAAAUUAUAUCUUCUUCCAACAAUAAUCAAAUUAAAUUCAUUCACCAUUGAUCUAAUAACAAUUGCUGUUUCAGGCCCAUCCACAGCCUUCUCAACGUCAUUAGAACACCCAUUAGUUUUAACACUCCUUAAUGACAGAGUAUCCCGCACUUUGUCCUAAUCUUCAAACCCAUCGUCUUUAGCAUUUUGUAAAAUGUACCAUGGUGAGACAAACCCUAGAGUCUUGUGCCAUCCUUUUGCCCAAAGUUCAGGCUUCCCGGUCAUCAGCGCUGCCAAAGAAGACCAUAGCAACAUCAUAUGAUGGUAAUUCAUUUGCAGAUGUAUCUUUACUUUGACGCCUUAAAUUGCCAUGGUCAAUCAAGAUUUUUAUCGAACAAGGAGCUUUUUCAAGGACCUUGGAAUUUAAAAUCCUGAUGCUUUCAUCCUCUGAUUCUUGAGCCAUCAAUGUACCAUCUACGAUGAAAUGGGAGGAUUAUAAGAGAAGCAACCUUGUCCAAUACAAGUGUGCAUACAUCAUCUUGCAUUAAACUCGGAGGAUAUACGGCUGUAAACGUGUUAAUGGAUAAACAUUUUCUAAAUGACACUAAGUAGACAGAGCAUCUCUGUUCUUUUAGUGAGGAAUGAAGAUUGGGGUUGCCUGGCCUCUAAGCUUGACAAGAUGAAGCACAUUACGAGCCAUGGGAUUAACUUUUAUAGGGCAUGCGAUGUCUAAAAAAUUGAUUACUGUUCUCAAAUUGUCUGGAACAUGAAUAGAAGCAACGAUUUGUAGCUCCAAAUGGGGCAUCAAAUCAAUAAUGUUUCGUUUUUUAUUACCUGCAUACUUUUUAAAGGAUCAUAUAGCUUGAUUACUAGCAUAGGCACAAUGCUUGCCGAUAAAAUGCUUAGAAGAAACAUAUAAGAGUACAACUCUCUAUUCAUAACCUGCAUUUUAGUAAAAGAAAACAAAAAUAAGAAAUGUAUAUCAGCAAAGAAUUAGUCCAAACCUUUUCUUCCAAAGUUAUUGGCUUAAAUGUAAUACCCUUUUGUCCGAGAGGAAGCUGAAGAUGCCAAGCUCAAGAACACCUUUACAUCUCAUUAUGGAAGCGAGUGCAAGAGCAUCUUUUGUUGGCAUCUUACUACACAAAGGAGGCAACAAACACACAACAAAUUUCACCACGGAAACGAAGCAGCGAGCAUUACUGCUUGUUAAUGCAUUCUUCUUACCGAAGAUAUUAAUUGUGCUUACUCUCAUCCCAUAAGCAAUCACAAAAAAUGGCAAGAGCAAGUUAUUAUCCGUGCUUUCGAGCUUCUCAAACAAAGCAGACCCAAAUGGCGCCAAGACCAAGAGCAUGUAGUUACCGAACCAUUUGCCUAUACAAACACUAAAGAGAAACAAAUGGGUGAUUAUUGUGGUGAAUAUUGAUUGCCGAGGUUUGCCUUCUGGUGUACAUCUUAUUACCAGUUUCACUGUGGGUCUAAAAACGAAGAAAACAAAGGAAAGAUGGACACUAACAUAAAAUAGUUCUCUCAUAAAUUUUCUAACGCCAUUAGUAUUGCCAUCCUCGCAAAAAUGCUAGCUAUGAUAAAAGUUAGAUCAUUAAUGAUAGCUGAAGAUAGGCCUAUUCGUCUAAGUUCAGAAUCUGUGAUCCUUAAAUUAUUGAGGAGACUAUAGACGGCCGGAGAUGUAGUAGUUGCGUAACCUGGAGAAAUGAAUAAAGUUUUCCAGUGGUUGUCUUGGUCAAGGCCAAGAUACGGAAGGAUUAGUGAGCGACAACUAAAGGCGCUGCCACAGAAAGAAGGCCAGCAUAUAAGGCUCUUUUGCUAGCUCUAAAUAUCAUCCUUGGAUCCAUUUUCACUCCCAUUAAGAAGGGGAAGAAAGCAAAGCCAAAUAUGCCUAUUGUUCCAAGAACUUGUACGCUGCCGUCUGUCAUCAAGCUCUCUGCUAGAUCUUUUGAGAGUAUCGCCGGAGAAAGAAGAAGGCCUAUAGUUCACAAAAAUUAUCACAAUAGCUCAGUUAAAUUGCCCAUCUAAUAACUAAAGCAAAAGCAUAUUUUCAUUAGAACACCAUUUUUUUAAUAUUGGCUGUAGGUUUGGUUGCACAAAUUUUUCUAAUUUUGUUUCUUAACAAAAUAACACACGUUAAGAUAUGAUCCUUAUGGCUCAAAGUUGAAAGAGAAUAAACCAUAGUUUUUAUAACUAUAUAAUACUAAUAACACACACAUAACACAAGAUUUCUAAAAGUUCAUAACAGCUCACAAUACAGAUGAUCUAAACUCUUACCAGGCAUGAGACAUGUUUUUACAAUAAAGAUUCUCAUUUUAUCUGAACUCUUUGAGCAUUUAAAAAAUUUAUGAAAAAUCUCAAACAAGGAGAGAAUCUUAUUAGUGAAUCUUAUAUGCUUUAUAUAUAUAGAUCUUAAUAAUUUGGGAAAUUAGAAUGAUACAGACAGAAGAGGAGGAGACCAAAAGGAAAGGAGCUCAUACAAGAAGCUGUGAGGUGAACAAUGGAAAUCCCCAGCGUUUGAGAAUGAAAUGAUAGGACUAACUAAUGGCAAAGAUUAAAGCUAUGCUCAGCUCAAAUCAUGGCAAUGAAAAAUCCAGCCAAUGAUAAGCUGAAAAUUUUGAUAAAAACUGCUUGCACAAGCCAACCAACUGUACCUUUGGUUGAAAUAUUUGGCAAAUUCACUUGCGUCUUAUCCACCAUUCAUGAGUGGUUCGUUUUUGCUGCGUUUCGUCAAAGAAGAUAGAGAGGAAAUAAAGAGAGAAGAAAAUUUUGAAGAAAGGAGAGAAUGGAUAAUGGAAAAAAUAAAAUAAAAUAAAAAGAAUCAAAGAUACUCAUUAUAAAAUGUUAUUGGUGAUGAUUAUUGGUAUCUAGUGAAAGCUAGCUAGCAAUGAAGGCUGGUUACCGUUUGAUUUUCUUUUUCUGUUUUGUGUGAUUGUUAGUAUAUUAUGUAUUUGUUUAUAUCCAUUGGGUUUUCCUUUUAUGACAAUGCAACUGCUAAUUACCUAAUUAAAACCUCGAGCUUAUAGAUGUAAAUUCUAACCUUUCUAAUUUUGCAGUUAGAUGAAACGUUAUCGAUGAUGAUUUGUCCCAUUAUUAUUAGAACACCAUAAAGAAAUUUUAGUAUUCAUAAACUGAGAUUUAGGUAUGAGCAGGGAAUUUAAACCGAAGAUGGUUGUAGCCAUAUAUUGUUUUGUACAUACUAUUUUCUUGGAUAUUUGAUUGAUUCUUCAAUCCAACUCCAAACUCUACUGCAGUAUAUGAAAUGAUAUUAAACUUUCAUCAUUUAUAAUACAAGUCAAAAACAUUGCCCAAAUGCCAAAAUAUUUAAGAUUACAAAUUUUUUGGGGUAAAAUCAGAAAGUGAUAAAACAAUAAUUAGACGACGUGCGGAUAAAUGAAUACAAUAGGUGACAACAAUCUUCAUGGUGAGACAUUAUGCAUUUAUUUGUGUUAAAAGCUCACGUUAUACUAGUAAUUAAUAUUAAGUUUAAACUAAAUUGAUAGGGAGCUUUACAAGAGUAAAGCUCCUCCAAAAAUUGGAGUAUGCCGCUAAAAGUGGCGAGCACACGGUAUUCUUUAGUAAAAGGCGAAAGAAUAGUUCGCUCUGUGCUCACCACACGGCUCCUUGACAGCAGAUGGCCACUUAUUGCACAUUAUAUUCGCAUGUAGUAGGCGAGGGCUUGAUCUUCUUAGCCAUGUGGGAUUGUCUUCUACUUCUGCAGGCAAAU